rnacentral:rRNA from 1 species
AUUGAACGCUAGCGGCAUGCCUAACACAUGCAAGUCGAACGAGUGGCGGACGGGUGAGUAAUGUCUCGGAACCUGCCUGAUGGAGGGGGAUAACUACUGGAAACGGUCGCUAAUACCGCAUACCAUCAGAUCUGCCCAUAUUGGAUUAGCUAGUUGGUGGGGUAACGGCUCACCAAGGCGACGAUCCCUAGCCGGUCUGAGAGGAUGACCAGCCACACUGGAACUGAGACACGGCCCAGACUCCUACGGGAGGCAGCAGUGGGGAAUAUUGAACAAUGGGCGAAAGCCUGAUGCAGCCAUGCCGCGUGUAUGAAGAAGGCCUUCGGGUUGGAAAGUACUUUUAGCGGGGAGGCGGGAACCGCAGAAGAAGCACCGGCUAACUACGUGCCAGCAGCCGCGGUAAUAC